rnacentral:lncRNA from 1 species
CUCGCUCCUCCCUGCUCGGUUCUGCCGAAGGGGCUCCCCGGGGACCCCACGCGCUUGCCCCUCCCCCCCCCCAGGAGAAGCCCCCUCUGGUCUGAGGGGCGUGGUCAGAGGCAGUAAGGACUCUGGAAAGGUCGAGGAGUGGACCUCCGAGGGCGUGGGGGCGAUGUCCUGCUGCUCUGCUCGGGGGCACCCACAGAGACAGAGAGAGAGAGAGAGGUGAAUGGAUAAAGAGAGACUGAGAAAGAGGGAGGGAUGGAAAGAGAAAGACAGAAAGAGAGUGAGAGACAGAUAGAAAGAGAUGAGAGGAAAAGAAAAGAGAAAGAGAGACACACAGAGGUGGAUGGAUAGAAAGAUUGAGAGGGAGAGAGAAAGGAGGAAGGCAGAAAAGGAGGGAGAAAGGGAAAGAAAAAGGGAGAAUCCAUCAGGUUUCCAGGCUCUUAGGGACUCCUGAUUUCUUCUGCUUCCCAGUUUUUUCUCUUCAGUCAUUCCCAUGGAGUUUUAAUUGAAAGAAAGAAAAAGGCAUGUCCAGCAACUGGCUCACCCUCAUUUUAAGGCCCCUGUAUGAUCCUUUUGUGGAUAUUCUAUGCUUUUUCUGACUCUUUGUCCCAGUUGAGGUCAGGAGUUUUAUCUGUCUUCCCCCUUCCCUUCCUCCAGGCAGUCCCUGCUCCUGGGAGGGAUUUCAGCCAACUACAACAGUCGGGGGAAGAUAUCCCUCUUCCCCACCCACUUUGGCUCAUCUGGACAUUUUGUUUUCCAAGGCUUUUUAUAUCACGUGACUCUGAGACUCUUAACUGUUGUGAUAAGGGAAAGUAAAAAGGCUAAAAUGUUAAAUCUUCAAAGGCCGUGCCUUUGAUCACCGUUCUUAAACUACUUAACCUUGCCUAUCAGGAAAGGAGGCCAACUGGAAAAGUGCUUUUUUAGCCAAGCCAAGACUGAAAACUUUUUUUAUAUUUUAUGGGAAGUAAAAAUAAAAGACUUUUUUAUAUUUAUAUUUUCAAGUAAGUUUUAGUUGUUAAUUUAAAAAGAAACUAGAUUUGGUUAUAUUUCAG